rnacentral:sRNA from 1 species
CCGAGCCUCCACCCAGUCUGCCUCCAUCGGGCCGUGCAAAAAAUCCCGGACCUGUAACUUAUUCAACGGAAAUGGAUGGUUUCAGUGCAAGAAAUGCCGUCUGGAACGGUGCUAUAAAGUCGGAAUGACCAUGAAAAGUAAUUCGGGGGGAAAUUUGAAAUUUUCGGAAAAAAUUUUUUUUUUAAAGAUUUUUCGAAAAAAUUUUUUUUUUCAGAUUUCCAAUUCCAACGGGACCAUAUUCGAUCUAAAAUUGAAAUUAUAAAUAAUAAAUUGCCUGAGGUAAAUUUUCAGCCAAAUUUCACCCAAACCCAAAUCUUUUCCCAUUCAGAGCAUCGAAAAACUAGUGGGCCGCCCGUUUUUUGUGGUUCACUGUAAGCCGACACUAAUUGAAAUUCACACUCAGCAAAAUUUAAUCGAUUGCCAUGAUUUUGUGGAAAAGGGCCGAAGGAUACUGUUUGAGG